rnacentral:ribozyme from 14 species
UUUUUUUUUUUUUUUUUUUAAAAAUUUUUUUUUUUUUAAACAGAAAGAGUGUCCAAAGCUUUGAGUUACGAUUUUCAGUGUUUUUUUUUAAUUUUCAUUUUUU